GUGUCAUUCUGACUAAGGACACACACCACUAUACUGAGGUGUUACUAGCGGGUGCAAAUACCUGUAGUGAAUUGAAGAAUGCGAAGGCAAUAUGGAUUCCUUUAUUUGUUGAUGACACCAUGGUUCCCACUCCCAAAGACCAGGACUUGUGUCGUAAACCCGGUCUAAGCAAAGGGUCAACAGUUAGUGUCAUCUGGCCAGAUUCUCAGCGUAGUUUAUCAGGGAAUGAGGUGGGGCAGGUGGAGGCAGAGAGAAGCCUGGGAGAGGAGAUGUAAAACUACAUUGAGAUGGUUUUCGGUUCUUAAAACCACAAAUAUAUCUUCCUAUGAGCAGUUCAAAUAAAUAAAGGUGACACAGAUGCAUUGUCAGAAAAAAUGAAUGAAUGAAUUUAAUUUUUUAAAAAGAUCGAUCAGAGUUAAUCUAUAAAGAGUGCAACUGGAUAUAUAUUAUUAUAUGUAUAAUGUUACAGUGAUUUGUAUUUGUUUUUCUUUACAAGCAAGAGAUAUUUACUGAACUUGAAAAUCCGUAAUCAGAAACCAGUUUCUUCAGUUAGCAUUUUUCAGAGUGACAGACAGAACUCCUGAAUGACCUCACUGACGUUUCAGAUGCAAGUGUCACUUUACACACCCAGGCAUUAGUUAAACAUCUUCAAUGUGUGAUGGAGAGUGUUGAAAGACAGAAAAGGCUGUUGUCUGUAAUUGACUGCACUAGAAGUUAGACAGUCAGUCCUGCAGCAGGUUGGCUGCAACUUUAAUCCCUUAAUCUGUCUU